rnacentral:tRNA from 1 species
GGAGAGAUGGCUGAGUUUGGUCGAAGGCGCUCGCCUGGAAAGCGAGUAGACGGGGUUGACUCGUCUCGAGGGUUCGAAUCCCUCUCUCUCCGCCA